UGGGGAAUUUUGGACAAUGGGCGAAAGCCUGAUCCAGCAAUGCCGCGUGUGUGAAGAAGGCCUUCGGGUUGUAAAGCACUUUUGUCCGGAAAGAAAUCCUUGGCUCUAAUACAGUCGGGGGAUGACGGUACCGGAAGAAUAAGCACCGGCUAACUACGUGCCAGCAGCCGCGGUAAUACGUAGGGUGCAAGCGUUAAUCGGAAUUACUGGGCGUAAAGCGUGCGCAGGCGGUUUGCUAAGACCGAUGUGAAAUCCCCGGGCUAACCUGGGAACUGCAUUGGUGACUGGCAGGCUAGAGUAUGGCAGAGGGGGGUAGAAUUCCACGUGUAGCAGUGAAAUGCGUAGAGAUGUGGAGGAAUACCGAUGGCGAAGGCAGCCCCCUGGGCCAAUACUGACGCUCAUGCACGAAAGCGUGGGGAGCAAACAGGAUUAGAUACCCUGGUAGUCCACGCCCUAAACGAUGUCAACUAGUUGUUGGGGAUUCAUUUCCUUAGUAACGUAGCUAACGCGUGAAGUUGACCGCCUGGGGAGUACGGUCGCAAGAUUAAAACUCAAAGGAAUUGACGGGGU
rnacentral:rRNA from 1 species